CCCAAAGCACCACUCCAAAGCUCCAGAUGUCGCUCUCGGUGGUGAACUUUCUGUACAUUAUGCUUUCUGGUGGCAUCCAGCGAAUGGGAAGCAUAGUCCUUCCACCAACCUGAUGAUGUAGUCGGUGCUGUAAAUAUCUCUUGACAUCCCGAAGUCCCCGAUCUUCACAACCAGACCUUCACCAACUAAACAGUUUCUGGUGGCCAAGUCUCUGUGGACGAAGUGCAGAGACGCUAGAUACACCAUUCCUGAAGCAAUCUGAGCAGCGAUGUGGAGCAUUUGAGUAAGAGUCAGCUGACCAACUGGAGGAACCUUCACUUCAUCCAAGAUAUGAGCAUCCGGACCGUGGGCCCUGUUCAAAGUACUGCGGGUUCUCCACAAAACUGGACAAGCCAGAGUCCAGCGUGCUGUCAUCUGAAGAUGGAGGACUGACACCGAAGUUCAUAAAGCGCAGAGACACGGCCAAAUCAUCCUCGGUGCCUAGAACAGACGAACCUACGAAAAUACAGAAAAUGAUCUAUCUGUUCACAAACAGCCCUGGUUUCACUGUGGUGACCAAAGCAGGGGACCUAACCACAAGAGGCACUUGAGAUCUCGGUGGAGGUGGGAUGCAGGAAAUGGUUGCUGAACAUGCUGAUGCGAACAUGCCGGCCGCCGCUCCAUAAGCAUUACGCUGCUCUUAACCCAUGACCCUGCCUUCAGGAAGCACUCCGCACAGAUUCACAGUCCCUUCUGUCAAAGAGUUUACCUUUAAAAAAAGGCUUUGUUACAUCUAUAGAUAGAUAUACAUAGAUGCCUCAUUGGGAAAAUUGAUUUUCACAGUAAGUAACGUCAGCAACUGAAAUGUUGACUUAAGCAUCUGUGAAUGCGUAUGUAUGGUAACGCCACCUUGAUGUUAAAGGGAUAGUUCAACCCAAAAUUAAAAUUUGUCAAAAUUUACUCCCUCAUAGACAUUACAGUAUAUAAUCGAUUACAGUCUGGACCUAAUAAAAGAUACUUAGAACAGAUUGGAAAUAUGCUGUAGGACCGGCACACUAAGACGUGGGGCAGAUACCUACUAUGUUCAAAAAAUGUUGGGUUAUUUCAACCCAGCGUUGGGUCACAAAUGGACAAACCCAACAGUUGGGUUAUUAAUGAACCUAUUCUUGGUUGUUUUAACCCAUUGUUAAGUCAAAUUUAAAAAAUACCCUCAACUGUUGAGUUUGUCCAUUUUUUAACCAACGAAGGGUUCAAAUAACCCAACAAUUUUAGACUGUAUGAUUGCCCGGCUUAAAAAGCAGUGGCCGUCCUCGAGCCCUCGUUCACCAGCAGGAUGAUUCUGAUAGACUGGCGGCUAACACACUUGCUAUCUGCCAAUCAAUCGUCACAAUUAUAUUUCCGGACUUCGGGGGAGAGAAAUCCAUUAGCAGAGAACAAACAAGAUCUGAAGACGGUUAUCAUGCCAUUUUCCUGACAGUCAUUAUCGCUCCCCUGAUGACUAUACAUUUGUCUGAAGUCAAGCACUGUUUUUCUUCUUCUGAAGAGAAGGUGAUAAACAGUGGUAAUUGCUGUGGUGUGGAGUGCGGUCAUAUGGGAGAAAUUCAGAGGAAAAACUUCCACGUCUAUCUACGCUGCUACUAGUUUCUUGUGUGUUUGUAUCGGAUGGUGGGUUUGAGGUGAUAGUUCACCCAAGAGUGACAAAUAUGUCAUCAUUCACUCACCCUCUUGCAAGGGCGUAGAUUUGGUUUGAACAUUGGGGGGGUUGAACGUCCCAGAUAGCACACGAACAUCACAGAGACAUCUAUUUGAUGUGUGUGUUUACAUCUGGAAGACAUAUUUUUAGAGUGUUUGCUCAUCUGCAAUACGUCUAUAGGACGUUUCCUGUUAGAAGAUCUCUUUAAGAUGUAAUGAUUUAGAAUGUAUGUGUAGUGGAGUAGGCAGGGCGAGACCGUUGUUCGAGACCGGUGAGUAAAUGAGCGCCAGCUGUGCGCACACCGGGCUCGAAUCACAUGGAGAUUGGGAGCAUAUAAGAGUACGAGCGACCGGACCGUCGAAGAGAGAGGACCGGGCACGAACAUGUUUUACGUUUGUAGUUAUGUUCUUGUGUUUUGUAUUUAUGUUUUGUUCGCCGGCGGUCGUCCGUGAGGGGCCGCCGGCUGUUAAUAUUUAUAUUUAAACUUUGUUCAAAGUUUGCCGGUUCCCGCCUCCUUCCCCAUGUCUGAAUCGUGUUACAGUAUGUUAAACUGACAUAAAUUCUAACAUAGAAGAGAUUAUAAAAAGAAAGAAAUUAAGUAUUGAAAGCGCCAGUAGGCGGCAGCGAUUUACUGUUUUAAUGAGUGAGCCACUUAAAUUAUUCAUUCAUCCAAUUCGUUCAAAAAUCAGAUUAUUUUAGGAAGAAAACAAACAUCAAUGUGAAUGCUUUUGUCAUUGAUAAUUACAGACGCUAUUGAAAAAUGAACUAAUAAAACAGAUGGCUGCUUUGGUAACUUCUUAUACUGAUAGUUAUAGCUAAAUACAUUGCAAUGGAUUAGCUAGCUAACAUAUAUGGUGUGUACUUAGCUAUUAUUACACAAUAUUCUCAUACCUCAUUCUCAGUACAUGCUUUAUUUUUUUUUGCAUCCCUCUCUGACCAGCAGUUAAAUAUUGUCCGCUGUGCAGCGCUUCUCUUCAUUUUUGGCGUACGUUAAGUUACCCGUGUGCUCUCCCAUUCAAACACCACUCGCGUUGUUUUGGUGAAAGUGUGACUCAUUGGUUGGGCGUUACCAAUCGGUUCAAUGGAGGGGGAGUAUUUUUUGUCUAAUUUAUUAUGACAAACUCAUAUUUGAUUAGAAAGAAAAUUAUUGUCACAAAAUAAAGUAAUUCUACAUAUUUUACAUUUGAUCUACUGUGAUUUUCACGUUGAAAUAUUGGAGGGGUUGUAACUGAUGGAUUUGAAUAUUGGGGGGGUUACCUCCCCCCCAUCCCCCCCAUAAACUACGCCCCUGCCCUCUUGUCAUCUCAAACUUGUUUGACUUUCUUUCUUCUGCAGAGCACAAAAGAAGAUAUUUUGAAGAAUGUUGUUAACCGA